rnacentral:lncRNA from 1 species
CUCUUGACCUUGUGAUCCGCCCAUCUUGGCCUCCCAAAGUGCUGGGAUUACAGGAGUGAGCCACCGCACCCAGCUCUUCUUUGAGUUUUUAAGGCCACAUAAGCUGUGGAUGUUAUAGAAUUUCUUAUUUCCCUGGGCAGCAACUGGGCCUCUAUUGAGACCCAAAUGCCCUCUUCAGAGGGAACUACGAGGUCAACAAGCACAAUCCCCACAUGUGCAGUGAAGUCUCCAUACGUCCACUCUGGAGGAGGAGAUGACAAGGCAGGGAGGCUGUCAUUUCCUACUUGGGCGGACCCUUCUAGGGGCGGUCUGCUCUGGCCCCUCCGCAAUUCCAGUCAGCAGCCUAGCAUGUCACUCUGGGAGGACCGCAGGAACUAGCAAAUCCAAUAUUCUGCUUACAAAUGGAGAGACGGAGGCCCCAAGAAGAAAGCUAAGAGGUACCAUCAUCAAAGGUAAGGUGAUGGGAAGCUGCCCCAUGCCUCGGUGUUCCACUAUGAGACAGAAGACACAGUGGUUAUAACUGCCACUUACCACUGAUUGUUAAACUCAACUUCAUUUCUUUUUAUUUUUUGCCUUUGCCAUGAUAGAUUUUAUAUCUUAUCACCACAACUGUGUGGUGAUGUGGUUUGGAUGUGUGUCCCCUCCAAAUCUCAUGUUGAAAUGUGGUCCCCAGUGUUGGAGGUGGGGCCUGAUGGGAGGUGUUGGAUCAUGGCAGUGGAUUCCUCAUGCAUGGCUUGGCACUCUCUCCUUGGUGAUGAGUUCCUGCUCUGAGAUGACAACUCAGAUAACUCCAUGCUGUGGUGCUAGCACCUGAGAGACCCAUGACCGAGAGAUCUGCCCCCACAUAUAAAUCCAGAGGGAUGGGGCUGGCCUGCUGCUUCUCUUCAAGAACCAGUAGAGGCUGACGCUGCAGAGAGGGCAGCACCCCAGGGUCAAGGAAAUCACCAACAGAGGGGACCAGCAGGGGUCACCUAAGACCCCAGAACAAGAGAAACCUUUCUUAAUUUGCCACAUCCAGUGAGUUCAAUAGAAGCCUCCUGUUUCAGCCAGGGGUCCCCAGGGAAGCAGAGUAACAGGACAUGCGUGGAUAUGGAAGUGGACAUAAGCACGGGAAUGGAUGAAUAUGGAUAUGGAUAUUGAUAUAGAGAGAGGUCUGCCUCCACCCCAAGAGGACCUCGUGGACGUGGUGCCUCAGGCUCCACCAUCCCCAGGAGAAGAGUGCCAUGCUUGGACUCGUUUUUGCUGUUUUUGGGACAGUGGUGCCAUUCCCCUCCCGUGACUGACUCCUGCGUGCAGUCCCUAAUCUGCCCAUCACCGCCGGGGCACUGUCCACAGCAUUCUGUUGAUUUCCUCCACACUGUCUAACACAACCUGAAACAACCUCAUCUGCCCACCACGUCUCAUCUGUGCCUCCCUGCCUGGAACGGAGCUGCAGGAAGGCAGCGAUGUUUGUCUGGAGGUUCCCUGUUCGCUGGUGCGGGUCUAUGAGGAGGAAACACACAGAAACCAAAAGAUGGAAUCAGGCUGUCUCGGGCCACUUCCUUCCGCCACAGCUCUGCCUGGAGUGCCAGCCCCAGCACAGGUGAAUACACAGAACCAGCGCCUCCCUCCUGGAGCUUUCCUGGGGAGACCAGUGAGGGUGAACAAGGAAGCGGAUAGAGAACUCCCCGCAGCUAGCACGCGGCGCUCCCAGGGAAGAGCAUGCCAGGCUGGAGGCCCUGCGGAGGGGACAAGUUCAGCAGCUUGGAGGACCAGAGAGAAAUCCAGCUCCUGCCUCCUAACUCACACAGCCCUGGUUAUAGCCUUUUGUUAUCACGUUGGGGCAGUUUAGGCCUCAGGAAGCUGAAUCUCAAGACCCUAAUCUGACUGUGGGUCAGAAGAUCCUCAUUCCAGGGUGGGUUCUGCCUCAUCCCCUAGAGGAAGAAAUGCUGCCGAGAAGCUGAGAAGAGUCUGGGCCAGGCGUGGUGGCUCAUGCCUGUAAUCCCAAGACUGGGAGCCCAAGGCGGGCAGAUCACCU